UCGCAUGAUUUGCUUUAGACGCUUUUCAAACUUUUCUUCAACUAUAUUUGGAAGCAAUUUCAGUGUCCAAAUUGAGACAACAAUUCCAUGGAUGAUCAACCAGUUGGGAAUGUCCACUCCAAUCCUCACUUGAUAGGAGAUCCAUCCAAGGUUAAAGGUCCAGAUAGCGAUGGAUCAUUCAGUAUCUCCGUUCGAGCCUUGAACAUCACUUGGGGCAACGAUCCACGAUAUUGGGAACUAGCUAAAUUUUGUGAGACCGAGUCUAAAGGAUGCGGCGCUGCAACAAGUGAACUGGCUCCAUGUGAUGUGAAAAUUCGAACUCGUGACCUUUAACAUCGUGCCAAAAUUAUACAAAGUAUACUACAUGAUGAAGUUCAAUGAGGAUGCGUUUGGAUGGAGCCACGCCCCGAUCAAAUUCAAGGUCAAAUUGGAAGGGGGCAAUGAGAGUGAAGUGAAAGUGAAUCUUCAUAAGUAUCGAGAGAAGCCGAUGAUGUGGCACAAGGUUUACGUCGGAGAGUUUAAUGUUGUCGGAGAUGGGAGUUCGAUGACGGUAGAGGUUGGGAUGUUUGAAGUGGAGACCGAUUGGUGGAAAGGGGGUGCGAUCCUCGACGGCGUUCGGAUUGAACCCGAUUUAUAGAUAACUUAUUUAAGUGAUAUUAUUAAUUAGUAUACGGUUUUGUAUUGUAUUGUAUUAAUUAUAUACAUAUAAGUUCUGUUGUUUGAUGUUCGGUUUAUAAUAUAGUAGUAAUUAUAUAAUGAAAUUUGUCUGUACCAAAGAUGAAUCUAACAUGUUAAUUAUUGCGUUGAUAGAAAUUCGAUCAA